rnacentral:rRNA from 1 species
AUUGAACGCUGGCGGCAGGCAUAACACAUGCAAGUCGAACGAGUGGCGGACGGGUGAGUAAUGUCUGGGAAACUGCCUGAUGGAGGGGGAUAACUACUGGAAACGGUAGCUAAUACCGCAUAACAUCGGAUGUGCCCAGAUGGGAUUAGCUAGUAGGUGGGGUACAGGCCUACCAAGGCGACGCUCCGUAACUGGUCUGAGAGGAAGAUCAGGCACACUAGAACUUAGACACAGGCCAGACUCCUACGGAAGACAGCAGUGGGGAAUAUUUGACAAUGGGCGAAAGCCUUAUCCAUCCAUGCCGCGUGUGUGAAGAAGUUCUUCGGAUUGUAAAGCACUUUAAGUUGGGAGGCGUUACCAACAGAAUAAGCACCGGCUAACUUCGUGCCAGCAGCCGCGGUAAUUC